rnacentral:rRNA from 1 species
UACGUAGGGUGCGAGCGUUGUCCGGAAUUAUUGGGCGUAAAGAGCUCGUAGGCGGUGUGUCGCGUCGGCCGUGAAAACCUGCAGCUUAACUGUGGGCUUGCGGUCGAUACGGGCAUCACUGGAGUUCGGCAGGGGAGACUGGAAUUCCGUGGUGUAGCGGUGAAAUGCGCAGAUAUCAGGAGGAACACCAGUUGCGAAGGCAGCUCGCUGGGACGUUACUGACGCUGAGGAGCGAAAGUGUGGGGAGGCGAACAGG